GCCCUUAUAGCUCAGUGGUAGAGCGCAUCACUUGUAUAUCUCCUUUGAGAUGAUGAGGUCCUCAGUUCGAUCCUGAGUGGGGGCA